UCCAUCUUUCCUUUAGGCUCCAAAACUCCAGAUGGUCUCUUUGAACUGCAGUUGUUUAUUGGUGCUUUGCUUCCAGCUACAAGACAAGGUCUGGCUCAUUCCUUUCCCCUUCAAUGGAGGCAUCCAUCUCUGCUGCAAGGCUUGCCCUUGAAAACCCUGGCUGACUCUGUUCUCUCUGCCAAGUGGUGCUGACCUACUUCUGUUCCCUUUUGUGGAGGGAACAGCCUCUGCCAGAACUGGCUACUAAAAUACACUUCUUGGAUUACCUUUAAUCUACAGGAGGCAUGCUCCAAUUGUAUCCUUCUCAAAUCAUCUUCUGCAGCCUCUGUGUUUUCUUGUCCAUCAACUGGUCAAAUAAACCAUCAUUUCUGAAA